CCUACGGGAGGCAGCAGUGAGGAAUAUUGGUCAAUGGGCGAGAGCCUGAACCAGCCAAGUCGCGUGAGGGAAGACGGUCCUAUGGAUUGUAAACCUCUUUUGUCGGGGAGCAAAAAGGCCUCGUGAGGCCACAAGUGAGAGUACCCGAAGAAAAAGCAUCGGCUAACUCCGUGCCAGCAGCCGCGGUAAUACGGAGGAUGCGAGCGUUAUCCGGAUUUAUUGGGUUUAAAGGGUGCGUAGGCGGACUGGAAAGUCAGCGGUAAAAUCGAGAGGCUCAACCUCUUUCCGCCGUUGAAACUGUCGGUCUUGAGUGGGCGAGAAGUAUGCGGAAUGCGUGGUGUAGCGGUGAAAUGCAUAGAUAUCACGAGGAACCCCGAUUGCGAAGGCAGCCUGCCGGGGUGCGACUGACGCUGAGGCUCGAAGGUGCGGGUAUCAAACAGGAUUAGAUACCCUUGUAGUC
rnacentral:rRNA from 1 species